rnacentral:rRNA from 1 species
UACGUAGGGUGCGAGCGUUGUCCGGAAUUAUUGGGCGUAAAGGGCUCGUAGGCGGUUUGUCGCGUCGGGAGUGAAAACACACAGCUUAACUGUGUGCUUGCUUCCGAUACGGGCAGACUAGAGGUAUGCAGGGGAGAACGGAAUUCCUGGUGUAGCGGUGAAAUGCGCAGAUAUCAGGAGGAACACCGGUGGCGAAGGCGGUUCUCUGGGCAACAACUGACGCUGAGGAGCGAAAGCGUGGGGAGCGGACAGG